GCCUGGGUGCAGUAGUAAGUACCUAUAGUCCCAGCUACUUGAGAGGCCAAGGAGGGAGGAUUGGCUGAGUCCAGGAGUUCUGGGUUAUAUUGCACUAUGCCAAUCAGGUGGCUGCACUAAGUUUGGCAUCAAUGUGGUAACCUCCAGGAGUGGGGACUACCAGAUUGCCUAAGAAGGGGUGAACCAGCCCAGGUCGGCCAGGCGUGGUGGCUCACACCUGUAAUCCCAGAAUUUUGGGAGGCCCAGGCAGGCAAAUCGCUUGAGGCCAGGAGUUCAAGACCAGCUUGGCCAAUAAGGCAAAACUCCGUCUCU
rnacentral:sRNA from 1 species